GGCUGUAGCUCAGUGGUAGAGCACUUGCCUGGCAUGUGUGAGGCCCUGGGUUCAGUCCUCAGUACCA
rnacentral:tRNA from 1 species